CCUACGGGAGGCAGCAGUCGAGAAUCAUUCACAAUGGGGGAAACCCUGAUGGUGCGACGCCGCGUGGGGGAAUGAAGGUCUUCGGAUUGUAAACCCCUGUCAUGUGGGAGCAAAUUAAAAAGAUAGUACCACAAGAGGAAGAGACGGCUAACUCUGUGCCAGCAGCCGCGGUAAUACAGAGGUCUCAAGCGUUGUUCGGAAUCACGGGGCGUAAAGCGUGCGUAGGCUGUUUCGUAAGUCGUGUGUGAAAGGCGCGGGCUCAACCCGCGGACGGCACAUGAUACUGCGAGACUAGAGUAAGGGAGGGGGAACCGGAAUUCUCGGUGUAGCAGUGAAAUGCGUAGAUAUCGAGAGGAACACUCGUGGCGAAGGCGGGUUCCUGGACAUUAACUGACGCUGAGGCACGAAGGCCAGGGGAGCGAAAGGGAUUAGAUACCCUUGUAGUC
rnacentral:rRNA from 1 species